rnacentral:rRNA from 1 species
AAUAGAUACCCUGGUAGUCCCAGCCGUAAACGAUGGACACUAGGUGUCGGGGGUAUCGACCCCCCGGUGCCGCAGCUAACGCACUAAGUGUCCCGCCUGGGGAGUACGGCCGCAAGGCUGAAACUCAAAGGAAUUGACGGGGGCCCGCACAAGCGGUGGAGCAUGUUGUUUAAUACGUCACUAACCGUAGAACCUUACCAGGGCUUGACAUCCGUCGCUACCCGGUGAAAGCCGGGGUUCCCCGCAAGGGGACGGCGAGACAGGUGUUGCAUGGCUGUCGUCAGCUCGUGUCGUGAGAUGUUGGGUUAAGUCCCGCAACGAGCGCAACCCCCACCCCAUGUUGCCAGCGGAUCAGGCCGGGCACUCUUGGGGAACUGCCCGGGUAACCGGGAGGAAGGUGGGGACGACGUCAAGUCAGCAUGGCCCUUAUGCCUUGGGCUACACACGUGCUACAAUGGCCGGGACAGAAGGAUGCAAAACCGGCGAGGUGGAGCCAAUCCCCAAAACCCGGGUCACAGUUCAGAUUGCAGUCUGCAACUCGACCGCAUGAAGUCGGAAUCG